rnacentral:misc_RNA from 1 species
GAAAAGUGGUCCCUCUCUCGUUCCUGAGUUAACAAAAACAGAUAAGGAUAAUCCUACACCUCACUAACAAUAUCCAUUCAUGCAGAGAGAUACAGAAGUCAAAAAAUGCUAUUUAUGCCGCUAAAACAAUAGGUUAUGCUGGAGAAGAUUAAAGAGCACCAAAAUACAGCAUAAAAUUAACUUCUCUAACAUGAUGAAAACCAGAUCAUUGAAAUAAAAAAAAAUUAAAGAGAUUUAUGCACAUUUUAGAAAAAGAAAGCUAAUUAUCUCAUACAAUUAUUCAGACAAAAUGGACAAGAACACAGUAGAUAGCAUGAAAGCUGAUUUCCAAAAAAUAAUUAAAAUAUAACAACCCAAAAAGAAGAGAAGAUGGGAAAUUCAAUGAGAAUACCCUUGCAAAUAAAUAAACAUUCAAUUGAAGAUCCAUUCAUUAAUACUUUAUUAUAGUCUCAAUUUCAUUUAUAUUUCUAUUAAAUUGUCCACUAUUCCCUUCAAAUGUCCGGAAAUCUAUUGCAGCCAAACUGCAUAUCACAAACAGCAUUUAGGAACUAAUAAAAGGUCAAAUGUGCAACUCAAAACAACAAGGCAACCUAUCAAAAGCAAUUAAUAAUUAACAUUCAACAAAGCCUCUUAAAAACAAAAUAUAAUAUACACAAAAGGCAAAAUAAGGGAAUGCCUUUUCAAUA